GAUCUUCCGAUAGGUAUGGGGGUAAUUCAAUUGGUGGAGAACUUGACGUUGAUGAUCCGGGCUUCUAACCAGACAUGCUUCGAAUCCCUGCAACUGCUACACUACUGCUCCGUUGGUUAUCAACCAAGAACAACUUGAUUGACCUCCCCAAGAAGGCUUUCCCUGCAAGAGAAUCGAAGAACAUAAGCAACAAAGUAUAAGCACACAAUCUGAAAUUGCAAAUAUGUCUGAAGUGAAGAUAGAUAUGGGUUCAAGCUCUCAAUUCGAAAGGACUAAUCAGCACAUUCGAGGAGAACAAGAACAGGGGCCAUGGAUCACUAUAAAAGGA
rnacentral:lncRNA from 1 species